GCGAGGAAUCCGAAGCCAGACCAAGUCAUAUGCUAGGACCAAUUACGUCGCUGCCCUUUGCGGGUAAUCGAUUGAAACUGGAUCGUGAUAGGGAUAGAGCGUUUGGGUGGUUGCUCUUCAAACACACCGGACGUCGCUAGUACCGAUUGAAUGGCUUAGUGAGACCCUCGUUAAACCCUUGAGAAGCCUCAAAAGGUUAGUGUUUGCUGAGAAGUUGGUCGAACUUGGUAGUUUAGAGGUUAUUACGGUCAAAGAAAAUAACAAUGAUUCCCUCAGUAACGGCGAGCGAAGGAAACUCUGGAGGGAUAAGCUCAAAUUUUAAAUCUGCUGGGUUUCACCUAACAGAGUUGUAUUUUGAAGAAACGUUUUCUGCGUCCCGGGUUAGCCUAAGUCCUUUGGGAUAAGGUAUCAUGGAGGGUGAGAAUCCCGUUCAUGGUUAAUCUUAAGGAUGCUCUACGAUACGUUUUCCAAGAGUCGAGUUGUUUGGGAUUGCAGCUCAAAAUGGGAGGUAAAUUUCUCCUAAGGCUAAAUAUUGGCGAGAGACCGAUACAGAACAAGUCACGUGAGGGCGAGAUGAAACAAACUUUGAGCAGAGAGUUGCACAGUACGGAAAAUUGUUCUAAGGGAAAAAAUUGAAGUGGGUCAUACCCCCGGGAAAUAAACCUUUUGAGCUUUGUCUCGUGGGUUCGAAGAGUUUAAACGCCUUCGGGUUUGCGAGAUUGGGAUCUUCUGGUGUACUUUCUCGUACGGUUAGUCAACAUCGGUUUUGAAUGUCAUAAAAUGACUGGAGGAAUGUAGCUUCGAUCUCGUAUCGAAGUGUUAUAGCCUUUGGUAGAUGUGAUGUUUGAGACCGAGGAUUGCAACGGAUACCCUUUAAGGGCUAUUCGUCUGAUCUCUGAU
rnacentral:rRNA from 1 species